rnacentral:rRNA from 1 species
AACGAACGCUGGCGGCAGGCUUAACACAUGCAAGUCGAACGCCCCGCAAGGGGAGUGGCAGACGGGUGAGUAACGCGUGGGAAUCUACCCAGUUCUACGGAACAACACAGGGAAACUUGUGCUAAUACCGUAUACGCCCUACGGGGGAAAGAUUUAUCGGAAUUGGAGGAGCCCGGGUUGGAUUAGCUAGUUGGUGGGGUAAUGGCCUACCAAGGCGACGAUCCAUAGCUGGUCUGAGAGGAUGAUCCGCCACACUGGGACUGAGACACGGCCCAGCCUCCGACGGGAGGGACCAGUGGGGAAUAUUGGACAAUGGGCGCAAGCGUGAUCCAGCCAUGCCGCGUGAGUGUUGAAGGCCUUAGGGUUGUAAAGCUCUUUCAGUGGGGACGAUAAUGACGGUACCCACAGAAGAAGCCCCGGCUAACUUCGUGCCAGCAGCCGCCGCCGUAA